rnacentral:misc_RNA from 1 species
GGAAAUUACAUAUUACAAAGGAUGAACCCGAACAGCUCCAGACAUUCCACUUUAGCUAUUAAUAAGUUUGCUUCCACCGUAUAUGGCAUAUAUGAUAGGAAUGUGUAGGCAUUUCAUUGCAACCCCUUAGUAAAGACAAUCACUCCAUACCACACUAACAUAUAUAAGAAGCAACACAGCGGAUAUCAUCAAACCAGUUCACUAGUAAAACUAAGCAAUAAAAUGUAUGGAUCAACUUGAUAAACUAAAUCUACCUCACGGACUAAACAUAAGUACACCAUCGCGAGAAGAAAACUGUCUUGAGAAACAAGACUAUAUGAAACAAAACCUAAAACUCCACCGAAACAGCAUCGGAAGUUGUAGCAUCGAAUAGAACAUGAUCCAUCAGCAUCUAGUUUCCACUCAUUGCAUUGACCACCAAUCUAUAAUGCUCCGCAAUCAAAUCUAAACGGUUCACCAUCAAGGCAGCUUCGUCAUCCUCCAGUUUCUUCCACUUCUUAUCCAACACUUUAGCCUUGUCAGUAGCAAUGGAACUCAUCUUCUCCUUCAAAAAACUUGUUCCAUUCGGAUACAUUGUCGACAUGCCAGCCAUACUUUCAAAUGAAGCAGUCAAAUGUGGAAAUUCAGACUGGAAAUCCUGUUGAUCACCCUUAACUAUAUCCUCCUUAACCACCUCUUUUACAGCAACCUGUUUCUCUUCUUCCUUAUGUUCCUCAUCAUCCUUGUGUUUGCUAACUUUACCACUUUUCUUAGGUUCAGAACUCUUCUUAGCCUCAACAGUCUUUUUAGCUUUGCCAUUAGUGCUAUUGGUAACAAUCUCCUUAACUCCACUACUAGUUCCAGGGGCACCCCAAAUCCUCUUUGAAUGCUGAAAAACUAAAAAAUCCUGACCCUUCAUGAAAACUGGCUCCUCACUAUCUUUCACAUUAGUCAAAUAUUUCGUCUUUAACCUCCUUACCUUGUCUCGGAGUCUCUUAUUUGAAGCUUCAACCUGCAACUUCCCCCUGAUGAAUUCAUGAAAAGCAGACAUAUCGGCAAUAGGUUCCACACCUUUUACCGCCUUGUAUUCAGCAAUACCUUUGAGUAGAGCAAGCUGGUCGUCAUCGCUCCAUAGAUUGCGAGGAGUAGCAGCUGAUUUUUUCUCCUCUUCUUCUGCAAUCUUGGGCUUCUUCCUCCCUUUCUCUGUCUGGGUAUCUUGCGGCCUCUUUGCUGCUGGCUUCGAUGGGGUGGCAGCUUUAGCAGGAACACUGGGCUUGAUGGUGAAGUCCAAUGCAGAAGGGGAAGGCAGGGAAUGUCCGGAUUCGGAUCCUGACCCACUCUCGCUGCCGGAAUCAGAAGAAAAUUGGAGUUUCUGAGUGCUGGAUCUCUUUACAACAGGAUGUGCUGUCUUGGGUUCUUCAGUUUCUUCCCCUGAUUCUUCUUCUCCUUCUUCCUCCCUCGAUUGUUCUUCUUCUUCUUCCUGGGAUUCCUCCACCAAUUCUUGUUCUUCAGAGGACGAUGCAGAAGGAGGCUGGUCUACUAAGCGGGAUUUGGUUUUGGGGGCCAUUGUUUCUGAAAGCAAGAAAAGAGAGCUAUUCGGCCAACAGCUAUGUCUAUGGUGAGUGCUGAAGCAGAGACAAAAAGAUGAAAGCUUUGUGUAGGGUUUUUCUCAAUUUAUACAAAAAGCGAAUGUAUUAAUCGAUUGCCGCGCCCUUCUACAGUUGGAUAAUCACUUUCCCCAUUUAGACAUGUAUUCCGAGUGAAAUUUAUGAGUCACUACUGGUCGAAGGACGGAAAAAUCACAUCUUAUUAGUUAUUUUAAUUGGAAAUUCUUUUUUUCGUGUGAUU